AUUGAACGCUGGCGGCAGGCCUAACACAUGCAAGUCGAACGAGUGGCGGACGGGUGUGUAAUGUCUGGGAAACUGCCCGUUGGAGGGGGAUAUAUACUGGAAACGGUAGCUAAUACCGCAUACCAUCGGAUGUGCGCAGAUGGGAUUGGCGAGUGGGUGGGGUAACGGCUCACCUAGGCGACGAUCCCUAGCUGGUCUGAGAGGAUGACCAGCCACACUGGAACUGAGACACGGUCCAGACUCCUACGGGAGGCAGCAGUGGGGAAUAUUGCACAAUGGGCGCAAGCCUGAUGCAGCCAUGCCGCGUGUGUGAAGAAGGCCUUCGGGUUGUAAAGUACUUUCAGCGAGGAGGCGUUACUCGCAGAAGAAGCACCGGCUAACUCCGUGCCAGCAGCCGCGGUAAUAC
rnacentral:rRNA from 1 species